GAUGAACGCUGGCGGCGUGCCUAAUACAUGCAAGUCGAGCGAACAGACGAGGAGCUUGCUCCUCUGACGUUAGCGGCGGACGGGUGAGUAACACGUGGAUAACCUACCUAUAAGACUGGGAUAACUUCGGGAAACCGGAGCUAAUACCGGAUAAUAUAUUGAACCGCAUGGUUCAAUAGUGAAAGACGGUUUUGCUGUCACUUAUAGAUGGAUCCGCGCCGCAUUAGCUAGUUGGUAAGGUAACGGCUUACCAAGGCGACGAUGCGUAGCCGACCUGAGAGGGUGAUCGGCCACACUGGAACGGAGACACGGUCCAGACUCCUACGGGAGGCAGCAGUAGGGAAUCUUCCGCAAAGGGCGAAAGCCUGACGGAGCAACGCCGCGUGAGUGAUGAAGGUCUUCGGAUCGUAAAACUCUGUUAUUAGGGAAGAACAAAUGUGUAAGUAACUAUGCACGUCUUGACGGUACCUAAUCAGAAAGCCACGGCUAACUACGUG
rnacentral:rRNA from 1 species